rnacentral:rRNA from 1 species
ACUGAACGCUGGCGGCAGGCCUAACACAUGCAAGUCGAGCGGAUGAAGGGAGCUUGCUCCUGGAUUCAGCGGCGGACGGGUGAGUAAUGCCUAGGGAUCUGCCUGGUAGUGGGGGAUAACGUCCGGAAACGGGCGCUAAUACCGCAUACGUCCUGAGGGAGAAAGUGGGGGAUCUUCGGACCUCACGCUAUCAGAUGAGCCUAGGUCGGAUUAGCUAGUUGGUGGGGUAAAGGCCUACCAAGGCGACGAUCCGUAACUGGUCUGAGAGGAUGAUCAGUCACACUGGAACUGAGACACGGUCCAGACUCCUACGGGAGGCAGCAGUGGGGAAUAUUGGACAAUGGGCGAAAGCCUGAUCCAGCCAUGCCGCGUGUGUGAAGAAGGUCUUCGGAUUGUAAAGCACUUUAAGUUGGGAGGAAGGGCAGUAAGUUAAUACCUUGCUGUUUUGACGUUACCAACAGAAUAAGCACCGGCUAACUUCGUG